rnacentral:rRNA from 1 species
AUUGAACGCUGGCGGCAUGCCUUACACAUGCAAGUCGAACGGCAGCACGGGAGCAAUCCUGGUGGCGAGUGGCGAACGGGUGAGUAAUAUAUCGGAACGUGCCCAGUCGUGGGGGAUAACGGAGCGAAAGCUACGCUAAUACCGCAUACGAUCUAUGGAUGAAAGCGGGGGAUCGCAAGACAUCGCGCGAUUGGAGCGGCCGAUAUCAGAUUAGAUAGUUGGUGAGGUAAAGGGUCAACAAGGCGACGAUCUGUAGCUGGUCUGAGAGGACGACCAGCCACACUGGAACUGAGACACGGUCCAGACUCCUACGGGAGGCAGCAGUGGGGAAUUUUGGACAAUGGGCGCAAGCCUGAUCCAGCAAUGCCGCGUGCAGGAUGAAGGCCUUCGGGUUGUAAACUGCUUUUGUACGGAACGAAACGGUGAGCUCUAAUACAGUUUGCUAAUGACGGUACCGUAAGAAUAAGCACCGGCUAACUACGUGCCAGCCGCCGCCGUAA